rnacentral:lncRNA from 1 species
GUUUCUGCUGGUCCAAGCAAACUUCUCCUGCCACGCCUAACCUUGGAGAGCAGGUACCCAAGCAAGCCACUCCUCAGGCAUUUUCCCCACAACUAGAAAUCCAGAGGCUUUGGAUCUUGAGAAGAACAUGAAGGAAAGAUGCCAGGAAGUACAGUCUGGUCUGCUGAUGAUGAUCAAUGGAGGAAGUGUUUCAUGGUGGACAUGGGAAACUGGCCAGAUCAACUGCUGUCACCUUCUAAGACCCAGACGGGGAGGAGGAAUGCCAGAGAAGCUGCAGACUCUCCGGCCACGGAGCCUGAGUGGAGCAGAGGUGGCCCACUGUCAGCCACAGGUCAAGUGUCAGGGUGGGGACGGGGCAGGCUCCACCAGAAGGCGGGGGCAGGCUCCACCAGAAGGCGGGGCCAGACCACAGGGCAAGGUGGAGAUGAGUCUGUGGCACCCCCAGGAAGUUUACCAGAUUUGCCCCAGAGCUUCUGACCCUUUGGAUCUCUCUGGGCUGCAUUCUUCAGGGUCCCAUUGCUUCUUUCUUGAAGGUGGAAGGAAAUGUUCCCAUCAGAGCCUUCCAACAGGCCACCUUGGGGGCUUCUCCUGAGAGCUCCUUGUGCACACACCCCUUCAGGGUGGCUUGGGUUGCGCCCUCAGACCCCAGUGGGGGGCCGUAUGGCAUCCUCCUUGGUCAGCAAGUGAGCCACAGCAGCAGGCCCCUCACAGACCUCAGCCUGGGGCCACAGGUCCCUUCUCCCCAUCUCCGCAUCUGGAGAAGCAACCUGUGGAGCAGCCAAGAGUGGCAGCCCUGGCUCUCUACAGCAUUCAUUUUCAGGGCAAGACAGAGCAUUUCCACUAUUAUGCUCCCCCCCCCGGCCUUUUUUUUUUUUUUUUGAGACAGGGUCUCACUCUGUUGCCCAGGCUGGAGUGCGGUGGCGCAAUCAUGGCUCACUGCAGCCUCGACCUUCUGGGGUCAAGUGAUCCUCCCAAUUCAGCCUCCAAAUUUCUUU